rnacentral:RNase_P_RNA from 1 species
UUGGAAGGGCGGAGAAUCGCUCCCGGGCUUGUCUCGGGGGAGGAAAGUCCGAACUCCAUAGGGCGCGAUGCCGCGUAACCGUUCGCUUCGGCGGGCGGAUACACGCGGGCAGUUUGGCCGCGAGGCCGGCUGACGGACAGUGCCACAGAGAACAUACCGCCAACCGGCGCGAGCCGGCGGUAAGGGUGAAAAGGUGGGGUAAGAGCCCACCGCGCUGAGCGCAAGCGAGGCGGCACGGAAAACCCCAUCGGGUGCAAGGCCAAAUAGGAAACCUCGGGGCUGCCCGCCCCACGUCCGGCGAAAGCGGGACGGGUUUCGGGUAUUGGCCGCUCAGACAAAUGAUUCUCUCCCCGCGCAAGCGGGCAGACAGAAAUCGGCUUACAGCCCUUCCAAAACC